AAUUAGGAAGCAAACGAGCAGAACCAUACCAUCCCUUGACAUGGCAUGUUACCUCGAGAGAUCGGGGAUCCUCUUUGGAGGCGUGCACACAGGUGCUGCAUGGCUGUCGUCAGCUCGUGUCGUGAGAUGUUGGGUUAAGUCCCGCAACGAGCGCAACCCACGUCCUUAGUUGCCAUCAUUCAGUUGGGCACUCUAGGGAGACUGCCGGUGAUAAGCCGCGAGGAAGGUGUGGAUGACGUCAAGUCCUCAUGGCCCUUACGGGAUGGGCUACACACGUGCUACAAUGGCGGUGACAGUGGGACGCGAAACCGCGAGGUCGAGCAAAUCCCCAAAAACCGUCUCAGUUCGGAUUGCACUCUGCAACUCGGGUGCAUGAAGGCGAAUCGCUAGUAAUCGUGAUCAGCACGUACUAUUAGAUCUGGUCUGAUAUU
rnacentral:rRNA from 1 species